UUCUAGCCCCGAUAGCAGCGGCAUCCUUUUACUUUUUUCUUUAAAAAGUAAAAGAUAUAGCGAAUAGCGGGAAAAAGC
rnacentral:sRNA from 1 species